AGAGAGAGCCUACGGGGGGCAGCAGUCGAGAAUCAUUCACAAUGGGGGAAACCCUGAUGGUGCGACGCCGCGUGGGGGAAUGAAGGUCUUCGGAUUGUAAACCCCUGUCAUGUGGGAGCAAAUUAAAAAGAUAGUACCACAAGAGGAAGAGACGGCUAACUCUGUGCC
rnacentral:rRNA from 1 species